rnacentral:rRNA from 1 species
UACGUAGGGUGCGAGCGUUGUCCGGAAUUAUUGGGCGUAAAGGGCUCGUAGGCGGCUUGUCGCGUCGGGAGUGAAAACACUGGGCUUAACUCAGUGCUUGCUUCCGAUACGGGCAGACUAGAGGUAUGCAGGGGAGAACGGAAUUCCUGGUGUAGCGGUGAAAUGCGCAGAUAUCAGGAGGAACACCGGUGGCGAAGGCGGUUCUCUGGGCAUUACCUGACGCUGAGGAGCGAAAGUGUGGGGAGCGAACAGG